rnacentral:rRNA from 1 species
CUACCAGGGUUUCUAAUCCUGUUCGCUCCCCACGCUUUCGUGCCUCAGCGUCAAUCAAGGGCCAGUUAGCUGCCUUCGCAAUCGGUGUUCUAUGGCAUAUCUAAGCAUUUCACCGCUACAUGCCACAUUCCGCUAACCUCAACCUAAUUCAAGACCCGCAGUAUCAAAGGCAAUUCCGCAGUUAAGCUGCGGGAUUUCACCUCUGACUUACAGGCCCGCCUACGCACCCUAUAAACCCGGUGAUUCCGAUUAACGCUUGCACCCUCCGUAUUACCGCGGCGGCUGGCAC